rnacentral:lncRNA from 1 species
UAAAAAAUAGGCAAAAAGAGAGCAAAGUUGUACAGAGUGCUAUAACAUGUACACGAUCGAUUUUGUUGAUGGAAAGAAAUACGUUCAUAGGGUUGGUGACAUAUGUGGUGACUAUUACGUACCACUGGCGUUACCUGGAAGGUACAAAAGCAACGUAGAAGACAUAGAAAAUAUAUUAUAUUUAUGGGUAAAUAAAAUAAAAAAAAAAGAAAGAAAAGACUUACGUACGUUUAGUUUACUAUAUAAAGAAAUUAAAUUUUCAUUAAUAUUAUCAAAGAGUAGAUAUGAAAAUAAAUUUUGUGUGUGGGAAAUAUUAUGGUAUGCGUGGAAAAACGUUUUGAAAAGGACGUUCGACAAUAUUAAUUGUACCAAUAGGAGUAAUAACGGCACAAGUAGUGACACUAAUAAUAAUAAAAAUAUAGAAAACAAUAACAGCAGUAGAAACCGUAGCAGUAGUAGUAACAGCAACAGCAGCACUAGCAGUAGUAGUAGUAGUAGUAGUAGUAGUAGUAGUAGCAAAUUCGCUGAGCUUUUAAAAACCAAUACACGCGAUAUACAGGCGGGUUGCAUUUAUUUAUUAUUUUUGUUAUAUUUUUCACAGUACGUAGAAAACAGUAAGUAUUCUUAUCCAUUAUAUUUAUCAACAAAAAUAUUUAAUUUAUUAUUAACAAUUACAGAAGAAUGUGAAAAGGCUAAUGAAUACAACGAAUUACGAUUUUUAUUAAAUUUUAUGAUAGACUCCAAUAGUAUUAUUUUAUGUUAUGAUGAUAAUUUAUAUGAGGUUUAUCAAGAUAGGUAUGGUGCUCCUUUGCAUAUUGAGAAAACAAAACUAGGCGUAGAAAAUAGUAUAAAAAUAAACGAUGUAAAUACAUUCAGUUUUUUUAAACAUGUUCAGGAAGAUCUAAAAGAUUUAUGUAAUAUAUGUGACACACAAAGAAAACGAAAUACUUUUAGUAAUUCGUUUGCAUAUAAUAUGUAUUCAAAGUUAGAGGACAUUCAAAAAAUUUUAACCAAUGACUGACAACUUUUUGUCUUACAACAAAAAAAGGGUAUAAUAAAAUAAACUGGAAUAAAUAUUAUUUUAGCA